rnacentral:lncRNA from 1 species
CUUUUAUUCCAUUGUUUCCUGGACACAUUCUACAUGUUUCAGAGGUGUCUGCAUCUCUAACCUAAUCCCUAUUGUGACGUCAUAGAAGGAAGAAGCGGGAAACACUGUUCCUUCCCCUCAGGCUACCUGGCCCUGGAUGUUGGCUUUACAAUGAAGGACAGAGAAUCUGGGAAAGGCAGUGGUCAGCUCUGUCCUGCAGGAACGCCACAUGCAUUCUGUCAGAACAAAGGGCUACCCUGAGCUUUUAUCUUUAACAUCUGAUUUACAACAAACAUUUUCAUUGGGGAUUUACAAAUUAGAGAUUCUCAACCUACAAUAUCAAGAUGUCAUUAGCCAGUGAUGAGUAAAAUCCUGCCUGGGGAAGUGCUUCACUGGGGUGGACUCCAAAGCUGGAUUAGACUGAAGAAUGCUCCGGAAUUGGGAAAGCACAUAGUGUCCAUGAAAGUAUUUCUAGAGAAGAUUGACAUGCGAGUCAGCGAGUUAACUCCCCACCCCCGACCAUGAGAUAGGCUGGCUUUGAACUUCCUAUCAUCCUGCCUUGGGCUUCUAUGUACUGAGAUUACAGUGUAAUUCCUGUGAGUAAACUCAGAUCACCUGGACUGUGUCGCAAGGACCGUUAUCCAUCUGCCAUCUCACUGGCUGCAGAAACCUAUGUUGGAUGCUCAUUAAUUCAAGACAAAGGGAUGAGGGAGACUCUCAGACAUGACUGUGUCCUUGGCCCUGGAAAGAAAAUUGUCAGCAGUGCCACACUAAGAAUGCUAAGGCAAAGAGAAGACUCUCAAAUACAAGAGGCAUAGACAACAUCCUCAGAAACGGAUCGAGGGAAACAUGCAAGGCUGGAAUGCCCGCAGAUCUGCUUCCAGAGGGGUCUGCUUCACUGUAUCUAUAUAACCUGCUCUCAAAUGAAUUCCUAUCUCAAAACCAGA